UACAGAGGUCUCAAGCGUUGUUCGGAAUCACUGGGCGUAAAGCGCACGUAGGCGGAUCUUUAAGUCGGGGGUGAAAUCCUGGAGCUCAACUCCAGAACUGCCUUCGAUACUGGGGAUCUCGAGUCCGGGAGAGGUGAGUGGAACUGCGAGUGUAGAGGUGAAAUUCGUAGAUAUUCGCAAGAACACCAGUGGCGAAGGCGGCUCACUGGCCCGGUACUGACGCUGAGGUGCGAAAGCGUGGGGAGCAAACAGG
rnacentral:rRNA from 1 species